rnacentral:tRNA from 1 species
GCGGGGAUGCCGGAGCGGUCAAACGGGCUGGAUUUAGGCUCCAGUGGCUUAGUGCUUGCGGAGGUUCGAAUCCUCUUCCCCGCA